rnacentral:rRNA from 1 species
GACGAACGCNGGCGGCGUGCCUAAUACAUGCAAGUCGAACGAGAGCGACCGGUGCUUGCACUGGUCAAUCUAGUGGCGAACGGGUGAGUAACACGUGGGUAACCUGCCCAUCAGAGGGGGAUAACAUCCGGAAACGGAUGCUAAAACCGCAUAGGUCUUCGAACCGCAUGGUUUGAAGAGGAAAAGAGGCGCAAGCUUCUGCUGAUGGAUGGACCCGCGGUGCAUUAGCUAGUUGGUGAGGUAACGGCUCACCAAGGCCGUGAUGCAUAGCCGACCUGAGAGGGUGAUCGGCCACAUUGGGACUGAGACACGGCCCAAACUCCUACGGGAGGCAGCAGUAGGGGAUCUUCCGCAAUGGACGCAAGUCUGACGGAGCAACGCCGCGUGAGUGAAGAAGGUUUUCGGAUCGUNAAAC